CACAAAAGCAAGUGUUAAAGCAGCAUGGAAAACAGAGACAAACAGAGGAGAAGUUCCUCAGUGGAUGCGGUUUGUCCCAUGUCUUCCUGUAAAGUAAAUCCAAUCACAAUAGCAAGCAAAAGCAGAAUCAAGAACAGACACAGAUAGACACAACCAUACACAGAAGGAGGAACAAGAUCAAUAUACAUGUCCUCCACUAUGAGGACCUUCAGAAGGGGGUCAAGGCGUCCCUUGAUGAUCCUGGCCUUAGAGAGCUCCUGCAUCCAGCUUCUCUCUGUCUCAGGCCCACAA